GAAAUAGAAGAAACUGAAAUGUUAAGUACAACGUUUUAAUGCACUUGCAGAGUGUCUGCUAAAAAGCGUUCGAAGUCGAAACGUGACUGUGCUUUGUCUGAUACCGGUUUAUUGAACGUAUGGGUGUAUUCGGGCGUAGCUUGUGUCUCCAGCUGGCGAAGAAGCCUAAUUUAUAUCCCACAUGCCUUCACUGCUUCACGUGCACUGAAUGUGUCAUUGAAGAGCGACUACGCGACCAGCGAGACGGAAGGUGCUUUUGUCUUUCCUUCAUUUCAGCCUUACGCUUCCUCGCGGCACUGUAGCGCGUGCACGAUGGAUGCGGCCAGGGUCAUCAGUAUGCUGCUUCUGGUAACGACGCCUCAGAACGAUGGAAGAGCUUUACUCCCUGAUGAAGACAAGAUAGGGUGUGUGGGGGGUGUGGUUAUGUUAAAAUUCCCUCUUCCUGGAAUACCGAACACCUAUGUCACUCUUGUGGAUGAUGAUAAAUUCAUCAGUCUUUGCAACAUCGGAGCAAGAGAAAUCCCACCAUGCUCUUCAGAGGGAAAAGGAUACCCAUGCCCAUCCAAUGAAACAUUUGUGUGCAUGGCUACAGGAGCGCUACACUAUGUCAGCAUGGAAACUCGCCACAACCAGAGUCUGCGUUUGGAAAGUGAGUUUCUUUCCAUGAGGAAAGAUCUUUUAGUGAAAGACUGCUCAUUCACGAGUACGAGUUUGAUUGCAAGUGAAGCCUUCACAAUCAUGGAACCCACAUGGCCACCUGGUAAGAGAUAGUAAAUCAAUAAAAUAGUUCAUAUUUUUCA
rnacentral:lncRNA from 1 species